rnacentral:lncRNA from 1 species
CCAACACUUAGCCAUUUUUCUGAAUCAUGCCUUAAAGCCAAAUGCCUUGGUAUAAGCCUUCACGAGGUAAAACCUCGAGGCCAUGGUCUUUUCAUUCGGUGGCCGGCCCAAGGUUCUUGGCCGUUUGCUUUAAAACCCAAGGCCAUCCUUCUUUAACCCAUUCCAACUCCUUUCCUUUCAUUCCACCAUGCAAGAUAGCCUCC